AACGAACGCUGGCGGCAGGCUUAACACAUGCAAGUCGAGCGCCCCGCAAGGGGAGCGGCAGACGGGUGAGUAACGCGUGGGAAUCUACCCAUCUCUACGGAACAACUCCGGGAAACUGGAGCUAAUACCGUAUACGUCCCUCGGGAGAAAGAUUUAUCGGAGAUGGAUGAGCCCGCGUUGGAUUAGCUAGUUGGUGGGGUAAUGGCCUACCAAGGCGACGAUCCAUAGCUGGUCUGAGAGGAUGAUCAGCCACACUGGGACUGAGACACGGCCCAGACUCCUACGGGAGGCAGCAGUGGGGAAUAUUGGACAAUGGGCGAAAGCCUGAUCCAGCCAUGCCGCGUGAGUGAUGAAGGCCCUAGGGUUGUAAAGCUCUUUCUCCGGUGAAGAUAAUGACGGUAACCGGAGAAGAAGCCCCGGCUAACUUCGUGCCAGCCGCCGCCGUAAAAC
rnacentral:rRNA from 1 species